rnacentral:lncRNA from 12 species
CCCCCCCCCCCCCCCCCCCCCCCCCCCCCCCCCCCCCCCCCCCCCCCCCCCCCCCCCCCCCCCCGUGUGAAGGAAGAUUUUGGGGUGUAUGAAGGAGGAUUUUGGGGUGUGAGGGGAGAUUUUGGGGUGUGAAGGAGGAUUUUGGGGGGUAUGAUGGAGGAUUUUGGGGUGUGAAGGAAGAUUUUGGGGUGUAUGAAGGAGGAUUUUGGGGUGUGAGGGGAGAUUUUGGGGUGUCCCCACCCCAAUCCCUGCCCUGGACCUGCCCCCGUCCCUCCAGGAGUUGGGCUUGGAGGGGAAUUUUAGGCUUUCAACAGAAAUUGAGGGGUGCAGAUGCAGAUUUUGGGAUUCCCAGAGGGGUUGCAGGAAGACUUUGGGGUUCAGAGUGGGGAUUUUGGGGUUCAGGGUGGGGAUUUUGGGGCUCAUGGUGGAGAUUUUGGGGUUCAGGAUGAGGAUUUUGGGGUCCCAGGUGGGGAUUUUGGGGUUCCUGGUGCGGAUUUUGGGGUUCAGGGUGUGGAUUUUAGGGUUCAGAGUGCAGAUUUGGGGGUUCAGGAUGGGGAUUUUGGGGUUCCUGGUGCAGAUUUGGGGGUUCAGGGUGCAGAUUUUGGGGUUCAGGGUGCAGAUUUGGGAUUCAGGGUGCAGAUUUGGGGGUUCAGGGUUCAGAUUUUGGGGUUCAGGGUGCAGAUUUUGGCUCCCCCCUCACCUGCCCCCCCCAGAGCGUACCUGGACCUGGACGUGGCGCUGUCCCCCGAGAGUUUCCAGGGGUUGGGGAGGGGGGGUAAAUGCAGAUUUUGGAGUUUAGACCCAAAUGUUGGGGUUCAGGGUGGGGAUUUUUGGGUUCAGGGUGCAGAUUUGGGGGUUCAGGAUGGGGAUUUUGGGGUUCAGGGUGCAGAUUUUGGGGUUCAGGAUGGGGAUUUUGGGGUUCCUGGUGCAGAUUUUGGGGUUCAGGAUGGGGAUUUUGGGGUUCCUGGUGCAGAUUUUGGGGUUCAGGAUGGGGAUUUUGGGGUUCCUGGUGCAGAUUUUGGGGUUCAGGAUGGGGAUUUUGGGGUUCCUGGUGCAGAUUUUGGGGUUCAGGAUGGGGAUUUUGGGGUGGGGUUCAGGAUGGGGAUUUUGGGGAUUCAGGGUGCAGAUUUUGGGGUUCAGGAUGGGGAUUUGGGGAUUCAGGGUGCAGAUUUUGGGGUUCAGGAUGGGGAUUUUGGGGUUCCUGGUGCAGAUUUGGGGUCUCCUGGUGCAGAUUUUGGCUCCCCCCUCACCUGCCCCCCCAGAGCGUACCUGGACCUGGACGUGGCGCUGUCCCCCGAGAGUUUCCAGGGGUUGGGGAGGGGGGGUAAAUGCAGAUUUUGGAGUUUAGAGAGAAUUUUUGGGUGUGAAGGAGGAUUUUGGGUGUGUAGAGGGGUGUGAAGGAGGAUUUUGGGGGGUAUGAAGGAGAAUUUUUGGGUGUGAAGGAGGAUUUUGGGUGUGUAGAGGGGUGUGAAGGAGGAUUUUGGGGGGUAUGAAGGAGAAUUUUUGGGUGUGAAGGAGGAUUUUGGGUGUGUAGAGGGGUGUGAAGGAGGAUUUUGGGGGGUAUGAAGGAGAAUUUUUGGGUGUGAAGGAGGAUUUUGGGUGUGUAGAGGGGUGUGAAGGAGGAUUUUGGGGGGUAUGAAGGAGAAUUUUUGGGUGUGAAGGAGGAUUUUGGGUGUGUAGAGGGGUGUGAAGGAGGAUUUUGGGGGGUAUGAAGGAGAAUUUUUGGGUGUGAAGGAGGAUUUUGGGUGUGUAGAGGGGUGUGAAGGAGGAUUUUGGGGGGUAUGAAGGAGAAUUUUUGGGUGUGAAGGAGGAUUUUGGGUGUGUAGAGGGGUGUGAAGGAGGAUUUUGGGGGGUAUGAAGGAGAAUUUUUGGGUGUGAAGGAGGAUUUUGGGUGUGUAGAGGGGUGUGAAGGAGGAUUUUGGGGGGUAUGAAGGAGGAUUUUGGGGUGUGAAGGAGGAUUUUGGGGUGUA